CGUGGGGGCCCUCCUGGGACCAGACUGCAGGCGGUGUAUUCAGGUGGUAGAGACGGCAGGUCUGUGGAUGGAUCGGAUGUGGAGGGAGAGAGAGUUGGGGCGGCUUCCACGACUGCCCCCAGCUGACCUGUGGACAUGCUGGGCACGUUACUGUUAAGAGUCGCGUGGUCAGCAGAGGGGGCAGGUCACAGUGGGGCUGCCGGGCUUGGUGACUGCUGAGUAACCGUGAGAGGAUUCAGGAGGAUUGGGACUUGGCAAGCGGACAUCUGCAGAGAUCCAUUUUGCUCUGGGCUGAUCUCCAGACAGACACUUUUUGUAAGAAGAAACUGGCUUUCAAGUCAAAUCAGCGUUGACCGUUCUUUUUUUUUAAAAAAAUAUUUAUUUGGCUGCAUCGGAUUUUAGUUGCGUCAUGCAGGAUCUUUCAUUGCAGCACAUGGACUCUUUAGUUGCAUCACGCAGGCUUAGUUGCCCUGCGGCAUCUGCAAUCUUCAGUACCCGCUGCCGCUGUUCUGUCACACAGUCGUGUGUGACUCUGCGACCCCGUGGACUGCAGCACGCUGAGCUUCCAUCUCCUUCACUGUCUCCUGGAGCUUGCUCAAACUCAAGUCCAUUGAGUUGGUGAUGCCAUCCAACCAUUUCAUCCUCUGUCGUCCCCUUUUCCUCCUGCCUACAGUCUUUCCCAGCAUCAGGGUCUUUUCUAAUGAGUCUCUUUGCAUCAGGUGGCCAAAGUACUGGAGCUUCAGCUUCAGCAUCAGUCCUUCCAAUGAAUGUUCGGGUUGAUUUCGUUUAGGAUUGACUGGUUUGAUCUCCUCACUGUCCAAGGGAUUCUCAAAAGUCUUCUCCAGACAGUCUUCUAGUUCCCCGACCAGGAGUCGAGUCUGUGUCCCUGAGAUCUCCCCAUUUUAGCAUCGACAGUCCCCAGAGCCAGCUGCCUCCUCAUCCCGAGCAAACUGGGACGGCGGAUACCUGACCCACCUUCAGCCAACCCUCGUGCCUUGGCUCGAUGACCCCUGGAUGGCCUCUUGUUGGAGAAGUAGGUUUGAAAACAUCAUAUUGGAGCAACAAAUAGAAUCCAAGUUAUUUUUAUGGCCCUGGGUUACAGGCUGGAAAGUAUGAAGAUAAGUUUCAAAGCAAUUCUGUCAGCAGACAGAGUAGAAAAUCAGAACAAGAAUGUUAUCAGCAACUUGCAGUAAUAACAGCAAAGGAAUCUGAAUCUGCAAAUUGCCUGGCUUCUGCACGAAAAGCCUAAAACUCAAAUGUCAUCCCUUUUUCACAAAAAUGAGUCAGUCAGCAUCCACUUUACCAUGAGUCAUGUUUGCUGUCAUGAUAUCAUUUCCCAGACCUAAAAAUGGGGAACAAAACACGGAACCCACUUCAAGCUGAAAUCAUGUUUGGUGCAAAUCCCAGAUGAUAUAAAAGCUUUUUUGUAUAAAGUCAUUUGAAUGCAGGAAAAGGUCACGUGGUCACAGACUGCUUUAGAGGAAAUUGGUUUCUUCACGUUAUAAAACUUCUACAGAUUUCAUUUGUGGAUGCCUCCCAAUACGUAAUACAGGGCAUGACGGUAAACCGGUCAUCCGCGCUCCAGGAGCACCAGCUGUGCCCAGCAAGGGGGGCGGCCUGUGUGUCUCUGUGGCCGUGUUCCUUUCUCUGGCUCCUGUUUGAAAUAACCAAAGGCCUGGGAAAACCUUUUAGAAAUCAGCCAGUGUGUAAUGGGAUGAAGGAGAAAAAGAAAUCCCGCCUCUUCACUGCUCAGGAAAGUGCAGGUGGACAGCGCGGUGGAAGGCACCGUUUGACCCUUCUUUGCUGACAGACAGGAAGGCUGGCAUUAUGGAGUGUUGGGUAGAACGUGAACCAGAAGGGUGGUCUGACAUGUUGCUGGACGGUGAGUGAACUGACGCGAGUGCCUGGGAAAGAGUCUGGAGCUGCCUUAUAAAGUGGACACCCACACAGCCUGUCACCAGGCAUCAUUCUUUGUCACCAGGUGUCACUCGGGUGUGUCACUGAGGGAGACUCCUGGGCAGCUGGUGUCCCCUAAGACUCUGUUAGGAAUCCCUUUAGACACCCCGAAAGCACAUGAACAGAAGCCUGAGUUCAUUCUUGGUAUAGCCCCGUUAUGGAGUAUUCUGUGGCCAUCUGAAUGAGCUACACUCUGAAGACAGCUACACUCAGUAUUGUCCAUGACUAUUAAAAAAAAACUCAAAACAUUGGAUACAGAUGCUUUUUAAAAAAUAAAAACUACAAAAUCUAAGCAAUAUGCUUUUUUAAAACCUUGUUCCCUAUUUAUAGCUUUUUAAAAAAAUAAUUAAUUUGGCUGCACUGGAUCUUGGUUGCGGCACGUGGAAUCCUCGUUUUAGCAUGGGGAUCUAGUUCCCUGCCCAGGGAUGGAACCCGGGCCCCCUGAGUUGGGAGUUCGGAGUCUUAGCCACUGGACCACCAGGGAAGUCCUAGAAUUGCUUGGUUUUAAAUGCGUGAAUUAUGUCUCAAGAAAGCCGUUCCAAAAACCAAACAAAAAGAAUUCAUCGUCUUCAUGGCAGCUGCUUGCUCAGCUUUCAAGAAGCAAGGUUUUGUCUCGACUUUCUGGAUGAGCAGAAAGAGAGAACGAUUUCACAGACCCUGCCAAGGUGACGGAUGACCAGGAGGAACAGCCGAGGCUGGUUCUGGGUUCCAGUCUCUGUCUGGACUUCUGCCCGCCUGCCACGUCUUUCUGCUUGUUCCGAGGGCGCCGGGUUCCAGGCAGGGGUGACGUGGACCUUGGCCUGGGGGUGCCCCAGGCGUCCUCAGGUGUGCGUCACACUAAGAGCUGGUAUAUAGGCGACUUGAACAAGUCACAACAGGACAGUCUCUCCUGCUCUGAAGUGUCACCUGGUCCUAAUCUGGGGAUCCACACACCUGACGUCUUUGGUGAUUACAAAAAAGUGGUUUACACCAAGACCUAAUUCAGGGGACGGGGUGUGGCACCCCCGCACCGGCUAGCUGAGUGCUCCCAACUCCUCUGGGCAACAGGCCUGCUCCUCACCCACGGCCACGGGAGCAGAUAAGCAACACGCAGCUCGGACCACCAGGCAUUUAAAGAAGGAGAAAGGAAAUGAAAGAAAAAUGUUCGAUGAAGAUUGCCUCUCCCUCAUAAAAAGAUCAAUAGAAGGAAAAAAAUGUUUAUAUGGUGAACAGACAUACACCCACAAAGAUAUGAGACUCAAAAAGCUGCCAGGCAGUUGAACUAAGGACAGGGAUGAGGGCCUGGGGGCUUCAGAAUGAAGGAACGGUGUGGUCCACAACCCCCGCCAC